CCUACGGGCGGCUGCAGUGAGGAAUAUUGGUCAAUGGGCGCGAGCCUGAACCAGCCAAGUCGCGUGAGGGAGGACGGCCCUACGGGUUGUAAACCUCUUUUGCCGGGGAGCAACGGGCGCCACGUGUGGCGCCACUGAGAGUACCCGGAGAAAAAGCAUCGGCUAACUCCGUGCCAGCAGCCGCGGGAAUACGGAGGAUGCGAGCGUUAUCCGGAUUUAUUGGGUUAAACGGGUGCGUAGGCGGAUCGUUAAGUCAGUGGUCAAAUUGAGGGGCUCAACCCCUUCCCGCCAUUGAAACUGGCGAUCUUGAGUGGAAGAGAAGUAUGCGGAAUGCGUGGUGUAGCGGUGAAAUGCAUAGAUAUCACGCAGAACCCCGAUUGCGAAGGCAGCAUGCCGGCUUCCGACUGACGCUGAAGCACGAAAGCGUGGGGAUCGAACAGGAUUAGAUACCCUAGUAGUC
rnacentral:rRNA from 1 species